GACGAACGCUGGCGGCGUGCUUAACACAUGCAAGUCGAACGGAAAGGCCUCUUUCGGGGGGUACUCGAGUGGCGAACGGGUGAGUAACGCGUGAGUAACCUGCCCUUGACUUUGGGAUAACUUCAGGAAACUGGGGCUAAUACCGGAUAGGAGCUCCUGCUGCAUGGUGGGGGUUGGAAAGUUUCGGCGGUUGGGGAUGGACUCGCGGCUUAUCAGCUUGUUGGUGGGGUAGUGGCUUACCAAGGCUUUGACGGGUAGCCGGCCUGAGAGGGUGACCGGCCACAUUGGGACUGAGAUACGGCCCAGACGCCUACGGGAGGCAGCAGUGGGGAAUAUUGCACAAUGGGUGGAAGCCUGAUGCAGCAACGCCGUGUGCGGGAUGACGGCCUUCGGGUUGUAAACCGCUUUCGCUCAUGACGAAGCUUUGUGUGACGGUAGUGGGUAAAGAAGCACCGGCUAACUACGUG
rnacentral:rRNA from 1 species